rnacentral:misc_RNA from 1 species
AAGUCGUAACAAGGUUUCCGUAGGUGAACCUGCGGAAGGAUCAUUACUAAUUAUGAAAAUCACUUUCAUAACCAAAAAUGCGAACUUUUGUACCAAUUCUUGCCAUUUGGUUACCAAAUUUUGUUAAGUGGGAAUGUCUGAUUCAUUGAAUUUGUAUUUUGACUCAUGCAAUCUGAAUCUUGACCCCAAUUUCAAAAUUCAUCGUAACCAAAUUGCACCAAAAAAUUACUACUAAACAAAAUUUUGAUGUAUCAUAAAAAUUCAUAACCAAAGAAACAACUUUUAACAGUGGAUCUCUUGGCUCGU